rnacentral:misc_RNA from 1 species
AGUGAGCCUGCUCGCGAUAGCGGUGUGUCCGUCACACAGUUGUUAGCUGACACAACGCUAUCGCGAGCAGGCUCACU